GGUGGACACCUGAGGCUGUGAAUGCGACAACCCAAGAAGGAGUCACCCAGGAUUUUCAAACUGAUACCACAGUUAAAACUGGCUGUUAAAGUAUAGGGUCCCUAAAACAUCCUCCAGCUACAGGACUGUUUUGAUCUGACGGACUGGUCCAUCUUCGAACAGCAGGACGUGGAGACCUUCACUCAGUCUGUCCUUUUCUACAUAAAGUGUUGUGUAGAGAAUGUGACAGUGACCAAAACCAUCCGGGUUUUUCCUAAUCGAAAACAUUGGACGAUGAGUCCAGGUUUUCGAUUACGUUUUUUGGUUUCGGGUCUCGUAACUCAGCCUUCAGGCGGAGGGACAGUUCUCUGCACUGCCAGAGCC
ensembl:lncRNA